rnacentral:misc_RNA from 1 species
AACGCACAUUGCGCCCUCUGGUAUUCCGGGGGGCAUGCCUGUUCGAGCGUCAUUACAACCCUCAAGCUCUGCUUGGUAUUGGGCUUCAUCCGUCAGGGUGGGCCUCAAAAUCAGUGGCGGUGCCAUUCGGCUUCAAGCGUAGUAAUUUUCUCGCUCUGGAGUACCGUUUGUGUGCCUGCCAGCAAACACCAAUAUUUUAAAGGUUGACCUCGGAUCAGGUAGGGAUACCCGCUGAACUUAA